CUGCCACCACAGGGUCCUAGUUCCCCCACCCACUAGUAGCAGGGCAGGCUACUCUUCUGCCUUGGACCCUUCCCUUUUCCUUCGGGAACUAUCACCAGCACAGGGGGCCCCCUGCUCACAGUCACUGCUCCUGCCCCACGCUGGGCAAGGGGCAUCCCCAUCACCCACCCUCAGUGAGGCUACAGUGAGGGGCAGCAACAGGGGAGGAGGUGCACAUGUGAUGAAAGGCUCCCCCUGGCACCUACCACAGGGGAGGCAAGGGGGCUUCCUGGACCUGAGGGGGUCCCUAGAAGCACGUGCAGUGACAGUGGUGCGAGGCAGAAGAAGACUUGCAGGCCUAAAGUUAAGUGGCAGUGGUAGCAGAGAGUCAAAAAGAAAGUGACAGGUGGGGACAGAGAUUCUGAAAAGUCUAGGGAGAAUCUGCUGCUGAAGAAAAUAACUCCCUGUCUCUGCCCCUGGAAUCAGAGCAAAACAGAAGCAUACAACCAUUAAACUUCACCCCAUCUGGUGCCGUGUUUUCAGCUGUGGUCAAUCCCUGAUGAGUCAGUGGAAAGCCCAAGGUGGAAGUAUGGGUGCUAGAAUACACCCAGUGUACAUCAGGGAAAUAACAUUCCUUCCUGACUCCAGCAGAAGUGGAUUAGAUCCUGAAAAAUGGAUACAUAUGAGUGGACCAGAAGUGCCAUUUACUUCAACAAGGCUCCGAAUGGGCAGAGAGUCCACCUGCAGAGAGAAACUGAAAACAUCAACUCAACAAUGGCUUCCAACUUACAAUGUUUGUAUGUUAACAUGUAAAUGAAGUGUGGAGGAGAGACUUCAGAAUGCAACUGGCAGCAUAGACCAGCCAAAACGGGAUUUUAACAGCAAACCACUAAGGCUUUGGUCCUGGGAAUCCUUGUACCAUAUGGAGGAGGCAGAGCAAGAUGGUUGUACUCCAGGCAAAUCAAUAUACCCAGCCCUCUGCUGUCACCACCACUUGGGUAACUGCUAGAGUGAAGCCCUGUGAGUCAAUGGUCUCUUCAGGAGUCAGGCAAGCAGAUGUCAUUCAGGAUUGAGGCCUAAGAGAAGUAGAAGAAAAGGAGCACUGUUUGUAUGAAAUUGAUGGGCCGGGUUCUCAGUUGGUGUAAAUUGGCAUAGCUCCAUUGACUUCAACGAUGUUACAGUGAUUUACACCAACUAAGGAUCUGACCCGCUAUGUUUCUAAAUGUCCAUUAUAGUGUUUCUGUUAACAUAUUAGUUGUAGUAAUCUUAAGGGAUUUUUAAACUAUGGCUAAUGCACUUCUUUGGUUUGUUUCCUUUUCACAUUUCAAUCACUUUGGACAAUUAUACUUGAUUGAGUUUCACUUUUGUUUUGUCACCAGUUUCACUUUCGAACUUCAGUGUUCCAACACUUGUGGGAAAUGUUUAAAGUAAAUUGUAAUAAGUCUGUUUUCAUUGAAAUUUUAAUGAAAAUAUUAUAAUUUAUGUAGGGCCCAACUUUGCCAUCUUUACUCAUGUUGAGUAAUACCUUACUGUGAUGGCUUAUUUGGGUAAGGAUGGCUGAAACAGGACCCAUUAUGUUCUGUAAAACCUUCUUCUUAAACAUCAGCAUGUUGGCCUGUUGGUGGUGACGGUUGUCUGUAUUACUGUUGCACCCAAAAGCACAUUGUACUAAUUGUGUACAAUACUAAAAUAAAGACAGCCCCUAUCCCCAAAGAGUUUACAAACUAAAUAUUUGAGGUUGUCCCUUUCAUGAGGUCACUGAGGAUACAUUUGAAAUAAACAGUGGAUUGAUUUUGAUCCUUAUUGGAGAUAUCUGUCUGACUUGUAUCUUUAAAGACAUUGGGAUAAUUUCAGAAAUGUGAUAUCGUGGCAUCUUCUUGCAGUCCUUGGCAAUUUGAC